UAUUGUUUUGUAUAGAGCGGUUACCAAGCCUCUGGAGAUUAUCAAGCACCGUAGGUUUGGUAGUGCAGAGAAUGUGAGCACUACUGCGUCAAGUCCCGGAUCAAAGAUAGAUGGACUUGAAGAAGAACCUAGCAGUCCUGCAGGUGAAGAUAGUUUCGCAGGAGAUUCUAAUCUCAGCCCGGCCAGAUACAACAGCGAUGAUGAUUCUUCCAGUGUAGCAUCAGCCACGCACAUCGGGUGAGUCCGAAAAUCUGACAAAGUAGAUUCAAUUCCGUCGAUUCGGUAGUAAGUUCCCAUGUGAACACUGCUAGCCUGCGUAGCAGUCUUUUCCGUUCCCUCUAAACGGGAGAAAGCGAGAGCCAAGGGGAAGUCGCGCGAAAGCAUGGGGCGAGAGCAAAAAGUUAGAAAAAGGGGGAGGGGGUCCUGUCACUAAUUUUUUGUUACCUCUUUCCCCGUGCCCUCGCGCGACUCCUGCUUGCCUGAAAGGAAACGGAAAAGACUGC